rnacentral:lncRNA from 1 species
UUUGAGAUGAUGGAAGGAUUCAUAGCUUCCCAGCAAGGGCGCGGGGAGAGAAGGGAGUUACCCGACCCUCCUCCACUACCGCAGGUUGAGCCUCCGCUACAGCAGGCUGAUCCCGAGCCACCCUGGCACGAGCCUGCUCCUCCACAGUACCACCCGGCACCACUGCCGCAGUACAACCCGAUGCCCCAGCCACGGUACUACUCGGCACCACCAUAGAACGACCCUAGUGCCCCUAGCAUAUCAGCAGGUGCCACCACAGG